ACCAAGAACACCUCUCCUCUCUCUGGAUCAUUCAGGGAACAGGAAGUUAUAAAGGAAACAGGAAGUUCAGGGUUCUUUCUCUAAUCUGCACACAGCACGCAGCAACAGAAAUGUAAGUUCCUGUACUGAAGUUAAGGUUUAGCAUUAGCAUGUAGCUUAGCAUUAGCAACAACUUGUAUUAGUUUAUUGUUUGAAUUUAUACAGAACUUUGGUAAUGACUAAACUUCUUGUGUCUUGUAGUUUUCACUCCUUCAAUCUGGUGAAGAAAUGAAAAGAGGAGAUCAUCUCUUUGCUCCCUUCAGAGCACUUCCUGUUGAUAAAUCCAGAGCUACAGAUUCACAGAUAUAAGAAGACCGAGGAGUUCAGAUGAAAAGAAACAAAGCUACAUGGACAGACAGGUGAUCAUUCAAAUGAUUUCGUCUGCUUGCGUUGGAUGGAUGUUUCUCGAUCUUCUCCUGAGUCCAUUUGAACUUUUGUGAUCUGUUGCUUUGGUAACCUCAGCAUCGUUAACAAAAACAGGCCAAUCAGAGUCCACAUUUUGAAGGUCUCGGUCUGGGACUAGAAGGUAAAAACAUCAAAUAACUUCAGUCCCCGGUUACGACCACAACCUUCCUGGUGUUACGCUCCAACUGUUUGUACAGGUUGCUCCUCCUCGUAUUUGAUCCGCUCGUGGCAACAAUAUUAUUUGACUUUUCUUUCACAAAGCUGAACUGUACCUGUAGGUCUGUCUUGAUGAGCGAGGCUCCUGCUUGGACCAGAUAAUGACAGAUAGUUCUUUGAGACAGGGACGCAG